rnacentral:rRNA from 1 species
CAAUAGCGUAUAUUAAAGUUGUUGCAGUUAACAAGCUCGUAGUUGGAUUUCUGGUCGGAAGCUCCUGUCCUCUGAUGAGCGUACAAGUGCGUCCUACCAUCCUUCUGUUAACCUUUAAGGCUUUCGCGGCUUUCUAGGGGCUCAGAUAUUUUACCUUGAGAAAAUUAGAGUGUUUCAGGCAGGCUAGCGCCGGAAUACAUUAGCAUGGAAUAAUGGAAUAGGACUUUUGCCUCUUCUGUUGGUCAUGAGGCUCGAGUAAUGAUUAAUAGGGAUAGUUGGGGGCAUUAGUACUUAACUGUCAGAGGUGAAAUUCUCGGAUUUGUUAAAGACUAACUUAUGCGAAAGCAUUUGCCAAGGAUGUUUUCAUUAA